UGGCUCAGAACGAACGCUGGCGGCAGGCCUAACACAUGCAAGUCGAGCGCACCUUCGGGUGAGCGGCGGACGGGUUAGUAACGCGUGGGAAUAUGCCCAGAUCUGCGGAAUAGCCUCUGGAAACGGAGAGUAAUACCGCAUACGCCCUUCGGGGGAAAGAUUUAUCGGAUUUGGAUUAGCCCGCGUUGGAUUAGGUAGUUGGUGGGGUAAUGGCCUACCAAGCCGACGAUCCAUAGCUGGUUUGAGAGGAUGAUCAGCAACACUGGGACUGAGACACGGCCCAGACUCCUACGGGAGGCAGCAGUGGGGAAUCUUAGACAAUGGGGGAAACCCUGAUCUAGCGAUGCCGCGUGAGUGACGAAGGCCCUAGGGUCGUAAAGCUCUUUCAACUGUGAAGAUAAUGACGGUAGCAGUAGAAGAAACCCCGGCUAACUCCGUGCCAGCAGCCGCGGUAAUACGGAGGGGGUUAGCGUUGUUCGGAAUUACUGGGCGUAAAGCGCGCGUAGGCGGACUAUUAAGUCAGGGGUGAAAUCCCGGGGCUCAACCCCGGAACUGCCUCUGAUACUGGUAGUCUUGAGUUCGAGAGAGGUGAGUGGAAUUCCGAGUGUAGAGGUGAAAUUCGUAGAUAUUCGGAGGAACACCAGUGGCGAAGGCGGCUCACUGGCUCGAUACUGACGCUGAGGUGCGAAAGUGUGGGGAGCAAACAGGAUUAGAUACCCUGGUAGUCCACACCGUAAACGAUGAAUGCCAGACGUCGGGCAGUAUACUGUUCGGUGUCACACCUAACGGAUUAAGCAUUCCGCCUGGGGAGUACGGUCGCAAGAUUAAAACUCAAU
rnacentral:rRNA from 1 species